UCCGUAGGCGGUUCUUUAAGUCAGUGGUGAAAUCCCAGAGCUCAACUCUGGAACUGCCAUUGAAACUGAAGAACUUGAAUAUGGUUGAGGUAGGCGGAAUACGUUAUGUAGCGGUGAAAUGCAUAGAUAUAACGUAGAACACCAAUUGCGAAGGCAGCUUACUAAGCCAUUAUUGACGCUGAUGGACGAAAGCGUGGGGAGCGAACAGGAUUAGAUACCCUGGUAGUCC
rnacentral:rRNA from 1 species